rnacentral:rRNA from 1 species
CGGUGGAGCAUGUGGUUUAAUUUCGAUGAUACGCGAGAAACCUUACCAGGGCUUGACAUAUACAGGAAUGUUGUAGAGAUACAGCAGCCGCUUGCGGUCUGUAUACAGGUGCUGCAUGGCUGUCGUCAGCUCGUGCUGUGAAGUGUUGGGUUAAGUCCCGCAACGAGCGCAGCCCCUAUCAUCUGUUGCCAGCAUUUAAGGUGGGGACUUAGAUGAGACUGCCGGUGACAAACCGGAGGAAGGUGGGGACGACGUCAAGUCAUCAUGGCCCUUAUGUCCUGGGCUACACACGUGCUACAAUGGCCGGUACAGAGUGAAGCGAAACCGCGAGGUGAGGCAAAACGCAGAAAGCCGGUCUCAGUACGGAUUGGAGUCUGAAACUCGACUUCAUGAAGUUGGAAUCGCUAGUAAUCGCGCAUCAGCAUGGCGCGGUGAAUACGUUCCCGGGCCUU